CAAUAGCGUAUAUUAAAGUUGUUGCAGUUAGAACGCUCGUAGUCGGAUUUCGGGGCGGGCCGACCGGUCUGCCGAUGGGUACGCACUGGUCGGCGCGUCCUUCCUUCCGGAGACCGUGCCUACUCUUAACUGAGCGGGGGCGGGAGACGGAUCGUUUACUUUGAAAAAAUCAGAGUGUUUCAAGCAGGCAGCUCGCUCUUGCAUGGAUUAGCAUGGGAUAAUGAAAUAGGACUUUGGUGCUAUUUUGUUGGUUUCGAACACCGAAGUAAUGAUUAAAAGGGACAGUCAGGGGCACUCGUAUUCCGCCGAGAGAGGUGAAAUUCUCAGACCAGCGGAAGACGAACUACUGCGAANGNAUUUGGNAGGGAUGUUUNCACUG
rnacentral:rRNA from 1 species